rnacentral:lncRNA from 1 species
CCACUAUGUAACCAUGAAAAAAUUCAAGCUAAUCAAUCAUCCCUAGAGCGAGUGGCAAAAGGCUUGAUAGUUGAUACCCGAGGUCCCAAGUUCGAAUUCUAGAUGAUUCACAUUUCUAGCUAAGUUUAUUUCUAAAUGAAAUAAACGAAGCAGAUAGCUUGCUACCUAUCUCUCAAAAAAAAAAAAAAAAUCAACCUUAAUUACUAAUCCAUUCAUCAUGGAAAUACUCUGUGGUUUGGAGUGAUUAUCUUAGCAAAAUA